UGGGGAAUAUUGCACAAUGGAGGGAACUCUGAUGCAGCGACGCCGCGUGAGUGAUGAAGGAAUUCGUUUCGUAAAACUCUGUUCUAUGGGAAGAAAAGGACUGUACCAUAGGAGAAAGCUCCGGCUAAAUACGUGCCAGCAGCCGCGGUAAUACGUAUGGAGCGAGCGUUGUCCGGAAUUAUUGGGCGUAAAGGGUGCGCAGGCGGCUUUACAAGUUGGAUGUGAAAUAUUGUGGCUCAACCACAAACGUGCAUCCAAAACUGCAAAGCUUGAGUUAAGGAGGGGUAAGUGGAAUUCCUGGUGUAGCGGUGGAAUGCGUAGAUAUCAGGAAGAAUACCGGUGGCGAAGGCGACUUACUGGACUUAAACUGACGCUCAGGCACGAAAGCGUGGGGAGCAAACAGG
rnacentral:rRNA from 1 species